rnacentral:snRNA from 1 species
AUGCUCACUUCGGCAGCAUAUUACUAAAAUUGGAAUGAUACAGAGAUUAGCAUGACCCUGUGCAAGGGUGACACACAUGUGUAGAACAUCUCAUAUUUUU